CCAAAUUUGCCUUCAACAUCACAUGCUCCAACUGCCUUUUGAACCCCAGAGAGUACAAUUUUUUCAUGUCUUCUUUUACUGGGCUUGUAAGAAUGCUCAUGCCCUAAAUUUAUUCUAUUCCCAAUCCAAUUCCUAUGUUACUGAACUGAAAAAUGUACCCAUGCAUUAUUGAUGAAAUCCACAUCUCACACCAUCUACUCAUGCAAAUUUUGCAGUACAAACUUUCUCAGGAAACCGGUCUUUCAAUGUUCAUUUAAUCAUAAGCCUCAUCUUCAAACAAUGAUGUGAUCAGAGUAAAUAAAUUCUAUGGCAUAAAAUCACGGGCAGCUCGGCAUGAGCAUCAUAUGGCAAGGAAAUUAGAAAGAUCAUCACAAUCCAAAUUAGUUGCACUCCAUCCCAUUGUUCUUGACGAUCUAAGAUAUUUGAGUCAAAACUAUCAGAUUGCAGAAUUUUAUUAAUUCCAAAAGUUGUCCCAGAUAUGUCAUGAAUUUGAGGAUGUGAGCUAUCUGAAACAAAGAAUUCGUAAACAAGACCAUUUACUUCAACUAAAGAGCAUCCGGGUUGCUUUUGGGUUCCAUGAACGAACAUGUUUUUCCUUUACCCACUUUCACAUCACUCCACCUAGAGGCAGAAGCAUAAACAUUAGACAAAAGAACACGUGCCCCGCACUUUCUAGGUUCUAAUUCUUCAAUUUUGUUCACUGCAAACUCGGCCAGUUCUACAUUCCCAUGACUCCUACAUGCAAAAAGUAGGGAUCCCCACAUAACCACACCAGAUGGAAUGGGAAAUGACUUCAUAAACUUCACUGCCUCAACCAAAAGGUUUGCCCGACCAAGAAGAUCAACCAUGCACCCACAGUGUUCAAGCCGAGGGGUGAGACCAUAGCAUCUAAUCAUUGCUUCGAAAUAGUAAAACCCUUUAUCCACGAAUCCACUGUGACUACAAGCAGACAAGACCCCAAGAACUGUGACCUCAUUUGGCUUGACAUCACUUUACAAUUCCAUCAGAGAAGAGAAUUGCAAUGCCUUCUCAGACUGCCUAUUCAUGGCAAGCCCUGAUAUCAUCGUGGUCCAUGAAAAGACAUCUUUCUUGGCUAGUCCAUGAAAAAUUUCAAGAGAUUUUUCAAUAUCUCCAGACUUAAGAGUACAUAUCGACCAAAGCACUCACCAUAGUAACCUGAUUUGGCCUCACAUUACCAUCACCCAACAAUUCCACAAACACCUUCAAUGCAUUGGCAUAGCAAUCACUAUGUACACACCCAGAAAUCACACUAUUCCAAGUCACACAUCCCGAACCAAACCCGGAACCUUAUCAAACACCCUCCGCCCAAAUUCAACAAAACCACACUGAAAAUACAUCGAUAUCAGCUCAUUUUGCACAAAAACAUCGAAUUCAAGCCCGAGCUUCUCACUCAAACAAUGAAUUUCAAGGCCUUUUCAAUCAACCCAAGUCUACCACAAGCCUUGAGGACAAAAGGGGAUGUAUGCUUAUCAGGGAAAACGCUAUUACACCUCAUAAGAUUGUAAAUAUUGACCGAUUGUUGGGGAGACCAACUCCGAGAAUAGGCUGGAACAUGAAAUUCCAAGAAAAGAGAUCUGGGUUUUGGAUGUGGAAGAAAGUGGAGGAUGAGAAAGAGAGGAAAUGGUGGGGGGAAGAGAGAGAGAGAGAGAGAGAGAGAAAGAGAGAGAGAGAUGGAUAACAGAGGAAGAGCUAGGUGUAGAUAAUUUUGCAAUUUUUGUUAAUGGUGCUGAGUUGAAUCCAUUCUAUGGCCAUCCAUCUUCGUCUGUGUGUUUGGGUGAGAGAUGAAAGGGAAGAAAGAGGCUUAACAGCAAAGAGAGAGAAAGA